rnacentral:lncRNA from 1 species
CAACGAAACAAUGUUGCCCGCCAAGUUGAGGGUUUUUGUAUCUCGUAUUUCGCCGUAACUAUCAGCUGCUGGUACACCUCAUGACACAUACACACCCAUGUAGCAUCAUUCCAUAAUAUGGUGGAUAAUAAUAUUACACCACCUUUCGCCGUUCGCGAAAAUGAAUUAAGCGAGAGGAAUUAAAGAAGAGACCGGUACAAUUUUUCCCAGUUUGUGCCAAAGAAGAUUAGACGUAGGGGAUCAAAGAAGACAUCUGAUUGAAGUACUACGGUCACCACCUCGACUGGUCAAGAUGAUAACUUUCGAAAAUCCUUCUUAGCAGGCGUUGCAAACUAGACCAAUUUUAGAUGCUUUGCUGGAUGUUUCUGAUGAUGAAAUCAUAGCAGAUGGUGAAUUACAUUCUGCUUCAUCCACUGAUCCAUGCUCUCUGACAGACCUUGUGCCUGUUACCUCACAGUUUGCAUACAUGUUAGAGCUGUUGAAUGGCAAUGUUUUUACCAUCAUUGGCAGCAAGAUUUCUUUGUUCACUUUUUCCAAUUUUGAUGCAGUUACAAAGAGAUUGCUUGAAGCCAAUUAUGUGAUUGCUGAAAGAGAACCUAGGGAUAACAUUUGGAUCUAUCAUUGUAAAUGUGUUGAAGGCACAAGGCAAAUUGAUUAUUUGUGGUCACUGUCAUCAACAGUCACGGGAGAUAGAGGAACAUCAUGACUUAUUGCCUUUGAAUGGGAAUAAUUUUACCAUAGUUGGCCUCCAAGGUGCACUUACCACUACUGAGGGCCAUGUGUCAGAAAACUCUUUACUGGGUUAAUCAUGUAUCUACCCUCUUGAAAUAAAGAACAUUGUAUUGUAUUGUAUU